GCCUGGGUGGCUCAGUCGGUUGAGCGUCCGACUUCGGCUCAGGUCAUGAUCUCGCGGUCCGUGAGUUCGAGCCCCGCGUCAGGCU
rfam:Felis catus isolate Cinnamon breed Abyssinian chromosome C1, whole genome shotgun sequence.